AUGUUUGAGCACAAUUAUUCCUCUUUUAGGUUCAAAAACAGGACACGUAAGCCAGUGUCAAUAUUUCCUGAACUGGAACAAAGGCUUGAUUUUUUGAUUAGACAAAAUGUUGUCACUGCACAGACUCUGCGGAAAAUUGAAGAUAUUCUGGCUUUGGAACUGGGAAAAGUUCAGCUGGACUCUCCAAAGCAUGUGCCAACAUCAACAGAUGCUUCACCCUUUAAAGUGGAGAAAGACGAGUCCAGUUCUCUUGCUGCAAAAAGGAGAAAGCUAAUGCACCCUGUUGACCCAGCUGGAAAUCACUAUCCGCAGCAAAACCCAGGAGACAAGGAGUGCCCUUGGCAGCCUUUGGACUUCUGCAGUGGAAAGCCUUCAGCACCUGCUCCAGAGCCUGCGGGGAACGCAAAUGUGAAAAAAGAUCAGCAAGCAAGGUCUUUUCUUCAGUGCUCGCUUUCCUAAGCCGAAGGAUGUUUCCUUUCCAUCAUGUUUGGCCUCUGGGACCACUUUCUAAACCACUCUUAGACCAUUAGUGCUGCAAGAACACCAGCAAUUCAGCCAUUUUACCGGUAGCAGGUCCUGCAUGCUUUCCAUCCCAAGGAAAUACAUUGCAAUGCUCAGCACCUUGUUGAAUCUCCCUGUGGGUCUUCUCUUCCUGAACCACUUUGCCAGCAUGGAAAGAAGAGAACGGUGACAAGCGACUCGAGGGAAGAUUGACUUGAAGCAGGAACCUAUUUGAGAAGUUUGAGUCUAUUAGCUUGUUGCACCAUUUUUUUCCGCUUUCCUAAAACAUUUCAUAAUGUCUAUUUGAAAAAUAGUAUGCAAGGCCUUCGUUUAAUAAAGGCUCUUCUUCAUGGUUAAUUUGCAUCCUUCUGGAGA
rnacentral:lncRNA from 1 species